rnacentral:rRNA from 1 species
CAUGUCUUUUUGAUUAUAAUUUAAAGUCUGACCUGCCCUAUGAAUAAUUUAGUUUAAAUGGCUGCGGUACUUUGACCGUGCAAAGGUAGCAUAAUAAUUAGUUUUUUAAUUGGGAACUGGUAUGAAAGGUCGAACGAGAAAAAGACUGUCUCAAUUUAAUUUAAAUUAGAACUUUAUUUUUAAGUAAAAAAGCUUAAAUAAUUUUAAAAGACGAGAAGACCCUAUAGAGUUUUAUAUAAUUUAUAAUUUUUGAAAGUUAAAGAAUUGUAGAUUUAAUUAUUUUAAAUUAUAUUUGGUUGGGGCAAUUAAAAAAUUUAAUGAAUUUUUUUUAAAUUAUAACAUUGAUAUAUGAUUAAGUGAUCCAUAUUUUAUGAUUAAAAGAUUAAAUUACCUUAGGGAUAACAGCGUAAUUUUUUUUAGAGUUCUUAUCGAAAAAAGAGUUUGCGACC